AAGCCCCAGUAAACGGCGGCCGUAACUAUAACGGUCCUAAGGUAGCGAAAUUCCUUGUCAGGUAAGUUCUGACCCGCACGAAUGGCGUAACGAUUUGGGCACUGUCUCAACAGCCCGCCCGGCGAAAUUGUAGUACCGGUGAAGAUGCCGGUUUCCCGCAACUAGACGGAAAGACCCCAUGGAGCUUCACUGUAGCUUGAUAUUGGAUCUCGGUAUUCCAUGUACAGGAUAGGUGGGAGGCUAGGAAGCGAGCGCGCCAGCGUUCGUGGAGCCAACCUUGGGAUACCACUCUUGGGAUAUUGGGAUUCUAACCUGCGACCAUGAAUCUGGUCGGGGGACACUGUCAGGUGGGCAGUUUGACUGGGGCGGUCGCCUCCAAAAGAGUAACGGAGGCGCUCAAAGGUUCGUUCAGCACGGAUGGAAAUCGUGCACUGAGUGUAAACGCAUAAACGAGCCUAACUGCGAGAAUGACGGUUCGAGCAGUAACGAAAGUUGGAGUUAGUGAUCCGGCGGUAUGUGAAUGGAAAUGCCGUCGCUCAACGGAUAAAAGCUACCCUGGGGAUAACAGGCUGAUCUCCCCCAAGAGUCCACAUCGACGGGGAGGUUUGGCACCUCGAUGUCGGCUCAUCGCAUCCUGGGGCUGAAUUCGGUCCCAAGGGUUUGGCUGUUCGCCAAUUAAAGCGGUACGCGAGCUGGGUUCAGAACGUCGUGAGACAGUUCGGUCCCUAUCUGUUGCGGGCGCAGGAAUAUUGAGAGGAGCUGUCCUUAGUACGAGAGGACCGGGAUGGACGUACCGCUGGUGCACCAGUUGUUCUGCCAAGGGCAUAGCUGGGUAGCUAAGUACGGACGAGAUAAACGCUGAAGGCAUCUAAGCGUGAAACUCCCCUCGAGAUAAGUGUUCCCAUCCUUCGGGAGUAAGGCCCCUUGUAGACUACAAGGUUGAUAGGUCAGGAGUGGAAGUGCAGUAAUGUAUGGAGCGGACUGAUACUAAUAGGCCGAGGGCUUGACCUU
rnacentral:rRNA from 1 species